rnacentral:rRNA from 1 species
UCCAGACUCCUACGGGAGGCAGCAGUGGGGGAUAUUGCACAAUGGGGGGAACCCUGAUGCAGCGACGCCGCGUGGGUGAAGGAGCGUUUCGGCGCGUAAAGCCCUAUCGGCAGGGAAGAAGGAGGACGGUACCUGACUAAGAAGCCCCGGCUAACUACGUGCCAGCAGCCGCGGUAAUACGUAGGGGGCAAGCGUUAUCCGGAUUUACUGGGUGUAAAGGGGGCGCAGACGGCAGCGCAAGCCAGGAGUGAAAGCCCGGGGCCCAACCCCGGGACUGCUCUUGGAACUGGGCGGCUGGAGUGCAGGAGGGGCAGGCGGAAUUCCUGGUGUAGCGGUGAAAUGCGUAGAUAUCAGGAGGAACACCGGUGGCGAAGGCGGCCUGCUGGACUGCGACUGACGUUGAGGCCCGAAAGCGUGGGGAGCAAACAGGAUUAGAUACCCUUGUA